rnacentral:lncRNA from 1 species
AUGUCUGGAAGAAAUGGAAAGGAAGACUGUUAUGUCAAGGGUGAAAAGAUGAGCAGAAAAGGACAUGUGGGACAACUGCACUCAAACGAUGCCACAUGGAACCUCCCCAACAUAAAGUAUGACAAGUUACAGGUGUGCCAAGGAAAUUGCCCCCCCCAUGGAAUGGAAGCGCUUUGGACGGGUGCAGAGGUGAGUAUUUCUCGGUGCCUUGUGCAUCCAUUGCCAAGAGGAACAAAGAUCCGAAUGCUGCAGGUCGGGAUGAUCAAAACACCACGGCAGAUGAUUCAUGGCAAGGUAAAAGAAAUGGACUGACAUUUCUAGAAUCCGGUUGCGUGAAUGAUGAUAAAGUGCCCCAGCCAAACCAUAGGUGAGCAUAGAUUCUACCUUUUAUUUCCUCUUUUUUUGUAGCCAAUUUACAGGUUGCAAUAAUAACAGAGCCAUACCCUUCUCAGUAAGGAAGUGCGGAAGCCCUGCCCCAUUCCUCUGGCUGGCUCCUGCUGGCGAGUGGCGUGGAGCAAGGAGAACAGGUGGAGGGAAGGAGCAGUAGGCAAAGAACCGGCUGGGCGAAGCAGCCACGGAGCGGAGCAACAGGAAAGCGGGCCGUGCGAAUGAUGACAGGAAGGCUGAGAAGGACAAUGUCU